AUGUAGACGUGUGUUGCCUGGAAGGACCGGAUGUAAUGAAGAAGCUCACCCACUGCACUCAGGUUUGUGUGCAUGCCGACGACAAGUCAUUCACCCGAGAAUCACCAAAUCACAGUAAAUGCCUGUUUUUUCACAUGAUGUGUUGGGAGCAGAAUGAAGGAAUCACCUAAAGUGAGCAACAUAGGAAAUCUCAAGGAAGAUUAUCGUCCAAAUUAAAGGCAAAUGUCUCUGAUGACCUGACCUUGCUCUUUUGU